UGGGGAAUUUUGGACAAUGGGCGAAAGCCUGAUCCAGCAAUGCCGCGUGUGUGAAGAAGGCCUUCGGGUUGUAAAGCACUUUUGUCCGGAAAGAAAUCCUUGGCUCUAAUACAGUCGGGGGAUGACGGUACCGGAAGAAUAAGCACCGGCUAACUACGUGCCAGCAGCCGCGGUAAUACGUAGGGUGCAAGCGUUANNCGGAAUUACUGGGCGUAAAGCGUGCGCAGGCGGUUUGCUAAGACCGAUGUGAAAUCCCCGGGCUCAACCUGGGAACUGCAUUGGUGACUGGCAGGCUAGAGUAUGGCAGAGGGGGGUAGAAUUCCACGUGUACAGUGAAAUGCGUAGAGAUGUGGAGAAUACCGAUGGCGAAGGCAGCCCCCUGGGCCAAUACUGACGCUCAUGCACGAAAGCGUGGGGAGCAAACAGGAUUAGAUACCCUGGUAGUCCACGCCCUAAACGAUGUCAACUAGUUGUUGGGGAUUCAUUUCCUUAGUAACGUAGCUAACGCGUGAAGUUGACCGCCUGGGGGAGUACGGUCGCAAGAUUAAAACUCAAAUGAAUUGACGGGGUCAUAGCUGUUUCCU
rnacentral:rRNA from 1 species